AUGCAUUGAAAGCAUUAAAGGAAAGAUAAACCUAAACUAUUACAAUUUCAUGGGAAGGGGGUAACAUAUGCCCCACAAUGGGGGGAUGAUACCAAACAAUACAAGGGAUGGAAAUGGGAUCAAUACAAGUUACACACUAAGUACCAUGCCUAAAACAAUCAAGUGGCAUGAUGUCCCUAAAUAAACAAUAUAAUGAAAAUGAUAAGUGUAAGCAAUUGUGAUGAUGGGACCACAAUAUGGAUUAAUCUUGAAGUCGCAUGGUCUAAGUAAACACACAAGGAAAAAUGAAGUUAGUAUGGAGUCAAAGUUGAAUGGAAACAUGCAUCAAAGUUCAACCACAUUCAAUGACGAUUUUCAAUCUAAAGGAGAAUGAAUCAAACAUGGAUAAAUAAUAAGGAUUAAUCACAUGAACAUGGUGAGACAUGAUAUCUAAAUAAGGCAUAGUAUCAAAGCAAAUUAAAAUGGAAUUUUCAAUUUAAUAAGAAAAUCACAAUCUAAUGGACAAUUUGAAUGGAAUUAACCUAAUGAUAAAAAUCAUUAUGCAUAGCAUACAAUCAAUGGAUCCAAAAUAACAAGGUGAUUUAAUCAUGAAUCAUCUAACAAUUCCACAAUUUAAACCUAACCUAAUAUCUAAGCUAAGCACAUUGAUUAACAUGGUGAUUAAAUGGAAAUUAAAAUCAUGGUCAAAAACAAUAUUAAGAACCCUAAUAACAUUAACCAUGGCCAAAUUAAACAAAUUUUAGAUCACAAAAAAAAUUAAAAUAUAGUAAAAAAUAUAUUAGAAAAUAAUAUGGAAAAAUAUGAGAAAAAAGAAUGGCAAAAAAAUGUAAAAAUGAAUAACAAAAAAGGGUUGGAAUUGUAGACACGGGUGUAAUAAGGAGAUCCAGCGCAUGCCUAACAUGAGGCCCACCGCCAAUUAGCCAUUGGAAACCAGGGGAUUCAUGAGUAAAACAAGGUGAUGUUCAACAAAGUGAUGAUAAUCCCAUACCAAGUAGGCCCAAAAUGUGACAAAGCAAUAUCAAACAAUCACUCAACAUUCCAGUUCCAAUGAAAAUGAUAUUCAAAUUAAAAUGAAAAAAUAAUGCGCCAACUGAAAUUGAAACAUUCAAACACUCAUAUCAAGAAACCACCAACAACCACAACACUAGAGGUUGCCUCCGACAACGGUGGUGCACCAAGGAUCAAAUAAAGACCACCAUCUUAUGCACAAUGACUCACUGGUGAAAAAUAUGGGGAUGAUUUCACGAAAAUCUCACUCAAAAGCUCAAAUCGAAGGCAACGACAUCAAGAACCCUAGAAGUUCUAGGUUAGAUUAAAUGAAAACUAUGAGGAAUCAAGGCCUAGGAUGUUAGGGCUUUGAUUCCUCUUGAAAACCCCUACAUCUCGAUAACCAGGAAAUGAAGAAAUAAUGGAGGUUUGGGAUUACCUCGCCGGAAAAGACGCUCAGAAAAAUGUCUCAAGUAAGUUCUUCCUCUUCCUUUCUCCGCUCUGUCUUGCUGCGAAACCUCUUAUUCUACUUCUUCCUUUCUUGAAUUCGUGAGUGAGAAUGAAUGUUGAGAGAGCUGAAUCGAGGAAAAAUGUUGAGCUGGUGAGGAUCUGUGAUGAUGAAUGAGGGAGGUUGAUGAUGAUCGAACUCCGGGAUUGAAGAUUAUGUAAAUGUGUGAACUCUGAGAGUAUUGAAAUUCUGAGAUGAAUAAGUGAUUGGAGAGAUUCAUGAUUUGAGAGAAGUGAUUAUGAUAUGAAAUGAAUAGUUAGUUCAAUGAUUAGGGAAUGAUAGAUUAUAUAGUUGGUUAAGCCUUGGGAUUUGUGAGAAUCAAUUAGGUUCAGUUGAACUGAAAUUGUUGAAUUCGAGGGUGAGUUUGUUAUUUUCUGUUUUGGUGAUUUGCUGAUGUCGAGGCAAAGUUAACUAGAAUGUUAGUUAGGUGAUGUAACAAUGAUAGUUAGUUGAGGUUCAAUUAGUUGGUAAUGUUAGGUUAGCUGAAAUGUUCAAUGUUAGGGUUAAUUCAAU
rnacentral:lncRNA from 1 species